rnacentral:rRNA from 1 species
UACGUAGGGACCAAGCGUUGUUCGGAUUUACUGGGCGUAAAGGGCGCGUAGGCGGCUUGACAAGUCAGUUGUGAAAUCUCCGGGCUUAACUCGGAACGGCCAAGUGAAACUGUCAUGCUAGAGUGCAGAAGGGGCAAUCGGAAUUCUUGGUGUAGCGGUGAAAUGCGUAGAUAUCAAGAGGAACACCUGAGGUGAAGACGGGUUGCUGGGCUGACACUGACGCUGAGGCGCGAAAGCCAGGGGAGCAAACAGG